GAUGCGCGUAGUGGUCAGCUACGGUUUGCUCAACUCGGCGCCAAGGCGUGGCGGACCUUGGGGUAAUAGUCUCUCUCGCGGACAGCGACAUCCAGACCCAACACUUCGACGAGUUGCUCGGUUUCCCGACCGAUUAGGUCGUCCAUGUCCUUGAGGCGCUCGCCCGCCAACCCCAAGGUGGCGCGUUCCAACGCCUCGAUCAUGGGUUUGAUGACGUUUUCGAUGAAGCGCGCCGCCGCCGCUCGCCUCAUG
rnacentral:sRNA from 1 species